rnacentral:pre_miRNA from 1 species
AAGAAUCACCAUGAGCCGGGGUCGUAUUUUAAUCUUGGCGCGAUCGGCUCGAGGCAGUUCUUCG